AGCAAAAUCUGUUCAAAAUCUCUACAAAAUAUUUACUAGAGAUUUGGUCUCAAAAGUUGGAACCUACAAAUCUCUACAAGAUCAUAGCAAGAUCUUGAAUAUCUCUAUAAAACACCCUCAUUCUUUGAUCAGCCACUUUAAGAUGUUAUCAUCUCUGCAACCUUUAUCCCUCUCCACAAUUUCAAACACACACUAAAAUAGAACACUACCUCUCUCUCUCGAUGACAUUAAGACAAAUAGAAAACAAAAAUUAUGAGAACCCUUUUCAUCUCUACCACUCCAUCUCUUUCAAAACACAUAAAUCUUACCCUCUCUCUCUCGAUAUCACACAAAUAAAAACAACAGAGCCUUAUCUCCAUUUUCAUCUUGAGUUCACCCAAACACACCCACACAUAAUCUGUUCCUCUCCCCUCCGAUGACACCCACCAGCAAGCAGCCCCCCCCUCGAUUGAACAGUAACGACACCGCCAUCAAGGCGGCGGCGGUGACCCGACAGAGAAACGGAGAGAGAGAGAGAGAGAUGUAUGAGAGAGAUCGGGAGGAGAAAGAGGGCGUCGGAAACGGAGCGACACCGCCGCUCAUGGCGGCGGCAGUGGAGGCGGCGGCGGCAUGAGUCUCACAGCGAUGGUGGUGGUUCCGUAAUGGUGGUACACCGUUUUCAGAAAAUAAAAGGGCGGCGGUGGUGCCGACGGCUACCGGAGCCGCGUCAGAAAACAUUACGGCGGUGGUGGUUUCGUUCUCCGACAGGAUCUCCGAUGAUGCUUGUGAUGUUCUGUUUGGUUCGAGUUUCGGGACUCCGGUCAGCUUUCGUGACACGGUCAGGCUCAAGUAAACAUGGCCAGAUUAAGUUUGGGGUUCACGUUAGCGGGUUCUUGUUCAUUCAGUCCAGAUUCGGAUUUGGUUUUGGGGAAUUAUUUUGGGUUCGAGUCAAACCCGAGUGACUCGGUCAACACCCGAGUCAACUCAGUUCAACAACGGGUCAAGAUAGGUCAAUGAAAGUCAGCGAUCAAACCAAGUCAACAAGUCAGCGGAUACGGGUCCAAAGCAGUUACGGUUCUGGUCAACUCCUGAGAUCCGGUAACAUUUAAUCACGCGAGAUUUAGUUUAGAUCGAUAUAGAUUUUUAGAUUUAUACGCGAACCGAGCUCGACCCGACUAACGGUUUUACAUUUUGUGAUAUGGUUUCAUAUUUGGAAUUUUGAUAUACUUCACAUAAA